rnacentral:rRNA from 1 species
CUCGUAGGCGGUCUUAAAAGUCAGGUGUGAAAUCAUCAGGCUCAACCUGAUAAGGUCAUCUGAAACUUUAAGACUUGAGGAUAGAAGAGGAAAGUGGAAUUCCCGGUGUAGCGGUGAAAUGCGUAGAUAUCGGGAGGAAUACCAGUGGCGAAGGCGGCUUUCUGGUCUAUUUCUGACGCUGAGGAGCGAAGGCUAGGGGAGCAAACAGGAUUAGAUACCCUGGUAGUCC